UGGGGAAUUUUGGACAAUGGGCGAAAGCCUGAUCCAGCCAUGCCGCGUGUGUGAAGAAGGUCUUCGGAUUGUAACGCACUUUAAGUUGGGAGGAAGGGCAGUAAGCGAAUACCUUGCUGUUUUGACGUUACCGACAGAAUAAGCACCGGCUAACUCUGUGCCAGCAGCCGCGGUAAUACAGAGUGUGCAAGCGUUAAUCGGAAUUACUGGGCGUAAAGCGCGCGUAGGUGGUUCGUUAAGUUGAAUGUGAAAGCCCCGGGCUCAACCUGGGAAAUGCAUCCAAAACUGGCGAGCUAGAGGAGGGGAGAGGGUGGUGGAAUUUCCUGUGUAGCGGUGAAAUGCGUAGAUAUAGGAAGGAACACCAGUGGCGAAGGCGACCACCUGGGCUCAUACUGACACUGAGGUGCGAAAGCGUGGGGAGCAAACAGG
rnacentral:rRNA from 1 species